UACGAUGGACCGAUCACUCGAUCCACAAGCGGUCUACAGAAUAGGAUAUGGCUCACAGUGCAGUCCAUAGACCACGCAAUGCCGGGUCUAUGCGCGGUGCAGAGGAAUAGUGCCGGUCGGUCUUUGUCACAGCAUAUGGGGCGUUUUGCGCUGACGGACGGCUGGGAUUGGUUUUUACAUGGGAUCAGAUGACCAGCAUCUCUCCAACCCAUAUCCGACAGUGGUGGCCCACAUCAACUGCGCAUCCGAUGGCUAUGGUUUACUUUGGCAUUUGAUCGAAUGGCUAGCAAUGUUUUCGAGCGAAAGAAGACUUCUGGAAACUAUUUUUGCACCAUCCAACAGUCUGAAUUCAAUUUCAGGCUUGAUCCGAUGGCUAGUAAUGAUUUUGACUGAGAUAAGGACCGAUUGAGGCAUGAUCUGAGGCAUUGAAGGAUGAUCUGAUUGCUGGAAAAUGCAAACACACCUUGGACACAUUUUGAAGAUGAUUUUGAGGGGUUUUGGGGCUCCAAAAAUUACCAGGAGGAAAAGCAGCAUCUAUAAAAAAAGGGCCACGGUAUAAGAGAAAAACAAUAGAGAAGAUAUAGAAAAAAAAGGAAAAAAUUGGUAGAAUAAAAUAGAAAAAAAAUAGAGAGAAAAUUAUAGAGUUUCAAAGGAGAAGAAGAAGAGGAAGCUUAAUUUGCUCCAAAGAGUUUGAAGGA
rnacentral:lncRNA from 1 species